ACGCUCGACACCUACGGGAGGAGCAGUGGGGAAUAUUGCACAAUGGGGGAAACCCUGAUGCAGCGACGCCGCGUGGAGGAAGAAGGUCUUCGGAUUGUAAACUCCUGUUGUUGGGGAAAAAGAGGAUGGUACCCAACAAGGAAGUGACGGCUAACUACGUGCUAGCAGCCGCGGUAAUCUGAGGCGGGCUGGCAAGGC
rnacentral:rRNA from 1 species